GAUGAACGCUGGCGGCGCGCCUAAUACAUGCAAGUCGAGCGAACAGAUAAGGAGCUUGCUCCUUUGACGUUAGCGGCGGACGGGUGAGUAACACGUGGGUAACCUACCUAUAAGACUGGGAUAACUUCGGGAAACCGGAGCUAAUACCGGAUAAUAUUUCGAACCGCAUGGUUCGAUAGUGAAAGAUGGUUUUGCUAUCACUUAUAGAUGGACCCGCGCCGUAUUAGCUAGUUGGUAAGGUAACGGCUCACCAAGGCGGCGAUACGUAGCCGACCUGAGAGGGUGAUCGGCCACACUGGAACUGAGACACGGUCCAGACUCCUACGGGAGGCAGCAGUAGGGAAUCUUCCGCAAUGGGCGAAAGCCUGACGGAGCAACGCCGCGUGAGUGAUGAAGGUCUUCGGAUCGUAAAACUCUGUUAUUAGGGAAGAACAUACGUGUAAGUAACUGUGCACGUCUUGACGGUACCUAAUCAGAAAGCCACGGCUAACUACGUG
rnacentral:rRNA from 1 species